AAGUGUUGCAGGAUUUUAUCCAGAAGAACCUGCUAGAGUUCGACCGAGCUAGGACGCAAUAUUCUACAAGUUUGUCUGCUUGCAUUCUCCUUUGUCCUUUGUAUUGUUCUCUUGCUGCAUGCCACAUGGCUGCCUUUUGUCUGAAUCCUUUCUUCUCACCCU